rnacentral:rRNA from 1 species
CGUGGAUAACCUGCCUCACACAGGGGAUAACAGUUAGAAAUGACUGCUAAUACCGCAUAAGCGCACGGCAUCGCAUGAUGCAGUGUGAAAAGCUCCGGUGGUGUGAGAUGGAUCCGCGUCUGAUUAGGUAGUUGGUGGGGUAACGGCCCACCGAGCCGACGAUCAGUAGCCGACCUGAGAGGGUGACCGGCCACAUUGGGACUGAGACACGGCCCAA